rnacentral:rRNA from 1 species
ACGAGAGAGAGGGAGCUUGCUUCCUCAAUCGAGUGGCGAACGGGUGAGUAACGCGUGAGGAACCUGCCUCAAAGAGGGGGACAACAGUUGGAAACGACUGCUAAUACCGCAUAAGCCCACAGGUCGGCAUCGACCAGAGGGAAAAGGAGCAAUCCGCUUUGAGAUGGCCUCGCGUCCGAUUAGCUAGUUGGUGAGGUAAUGGCCCACCAAGGCAACGAUCGGUAGCCGGACUGAGAGGUUGAACGGCCACAUUGGGACUGAGACACGGCCCAGACUCCUACGGGAGGCAGCAGUGGGGAAUAUUGCACAAUGGGGGAAACCCUGAUGCAGCGACGCCGCGUGGAGGAAGAAGGUCUUCGGAUUGUAAACUCCUGUUGUUGAGGAAGAUAAUGACGGUACUCAACAAGGAAGUGACGGCUAACUACGUGCCAGCAGCCGCGGUAAAACGUAGGUCACAAGCGUUGUCCGGAAUUACUGGGUGUAAAGGGAGCGCAGGCGGGAAGACAAGUUGGAAGUGAAAUCUAUGGGCUCAACCCAUAAACUGCUUUCAAAACUGUUUUUCUUGAGUAGUGCAGAGGUAGGCGGAAUUCCCGGUGUAGCGGUGGAAUGCGUAGAUAUCGGGAGGAACACCAGUGGCGAAGGCGGCCUACUGGGCACCAACUGA